GGGUUGUGAGGUUAAGCGACUAAGCGUACACGGUGGAUGCCCUGGCAGUCAGAGGCGAUGAAGGACGUGCUAAUCUGCGAUAAGCGUCGGUAAGGUGAUAUGAACCGUUAUAACCGGCGAUUUCCGAAUGGGGAAACCCAGUGUGUUUCGACACACUAUCAUUAACUGAAUCCAUAGGUUAAUGAGGCGAACCGGGGGAACUGAAACAUCUAAGUACCCCGAGGAAAAGAAAUCAACCGAGAUUCCCCCAGUAGCGGCGAGCGAACGGGGAGGAGCCCAGAGUCUGAAUCAGUGUGUGUGUUAGUGGAAGCGUCUGGAAAGGCGUGCGAUACAGGGUGACAGCCCCGUACACAAAAAUGCACAUAUUGUGAGCUCGAUGAGUAGGGCGGGACACGUGGUAUCCUGUCUGAAUAUGGGGGGACCAUCCUCCAAGGCUAAAUACUCCUGACUGACCGAUAGUGAACCAGUACCGUGAGGGAAAGGCGAAAAGAACCCCGGCGAGGGGAGUGAAAAAGAACCUGAAACCGUGUACGUACAAGCAGUGGGAGCCUCUUAAUGGGGUGACUGCGUACCUUUUGUAUAAUGGGUCAGCGACUUAUAUUCUGUAGCAAGGUUAACCGAAUAGGGGAGCCGAAGGGAAACCGAGUCUUAACUGGGCGUUAAGUUGCAGGGUAUAGACCCGAAACCCGGUGAUCUAGCCAUGGGCAGGUUGAAGGUUGGGUAACACUAACUGGAGGACCGAACCGACUAAUGUUGAAAAAUUAGCGGAUGACUUGUGGCUGGGGGUGAAAGGCCAAUCAAACCGGGAGAUAGCUGGUUCUCCCCGAAAGCUAUUUAGGUAGCGCCUCGUGAAUUCAUCUCCGGGGGUAGAGCACUGUUUCGGCAAGGGGGUCAUCCCGACUUACCAACCCGAUGCAAACUGCGAAUACCGGAGAAUGUUAUCACGGGAGACACACGGCGGGUGCUAACGUCCGUCGUGAAGAGGGAAACAACCCAGACCGCCAGCUAAGGUCCCAAAGUCAUGGUUAAGUGGGAAACGAUGUGGGAAGGCCCAGACAGCCAGGAUGUUGGCUUAGAAGCAGCCAUCAUUUAAAGAAAGCGUAAUAGCUCACUGGUCGAGUCGGCCUGCGCGGAAGAUGUAACGGGGCUAAACCAUGCACCGAAGCUGCGGCAGCGACACUAUGUGUUGUUGGGUAGGGGAGCGUUCUGUAAGCCUGUGAAGGUGGCCUGUGAGGGUUGCUGGAGGUAUCAGAAGUGCGAAUGCUGACAUAAGUAACGAUAAAGCGGGUGAAAAGCCCGCUCGCCGGAAGACCAAGGGUUCCUGUCCAACGUUAAUCGGGGCAGGGUGAGUCGACCCCUAAGGCGAGGCCGAAAGGCGUAGUCGAUGGGAAACAGGUUAAUAUUCCUGUACUUGGUGUUACUGCGAAGGGGGGACGGAGAAGGCUAUGUUGGCCGGGCGACGGUUGUCCCGGUUUAAGCGUGUAGGCUGGUUUUCCAGGCAAAUCCGGAAAACCAAGGCUGAGGCGUGAUGACGAGGCACUACGGUGCUGAAGCGACAAAUGCCCUGCUUCCAGGAAAAGCCUCUAAGCAUCAGGUAACAUCAAAUCGUACCCCAAACCGACACAGGUGGUCAGGUAGAGAAUACCAAGGCGCUUGAGAGAACUCGGGUGAAGGAACUAGGCAAAAUGGUGCCGUAACUUCGGGAGAAGGCACGCUGAUAUGUAGGUGAAGCGACUUGCUCGUGGAGCUGAAAUCAGUCGAAGAUACCAGCUGGCUGCAACUGUUUAUUAAAAACACAGCACUGUGCAAACACGAAAGUGGACGUAUACGGUGUGACGCCUGCCCGGUGCCGGAAGGUUAAUUGAUGGGGUUAGCGGUAACGCGAAGCUCUUGAUCGAAGCCCCGGUAAACGGCGGCCGUAACUAUAACGGUCCUAAGGUAGCGAAAUUCCUUGUCGGGUAAGUUCCGACCUGCACGAAUGGCGUAAUGAUGGCCAGGCUGUCUCCACCCGAGACUCAGUGAAAUUGAACUCGCUGUGAAGAUGCAGUGUACCCGCGGCAAGACGGAAAGACCCCGUGAACCUUUACUAUAGCUUGACACUGAACAUUGAGCCUUGAUGUGUAGGAUAGGUGGGAGGCUUUGAAGUGUGGACGCCAGUCUGCAUGGAGCCGACCUUGAAAUACCACCCUUUAAUGUUUGAUGUUCUAACGUUGGCCCGUAAUCCGGGUUGCGGACAGUGUCUGGUGGGUAGUUUGACUGGGGCGGUCUCCUCCUAAAGAGUAACGGAGGAGCACGAAGGUUGGCUAAUCCUGGUCGGACAUCAGGAGGUUAGUGCAAUGGCAUAAGCCAGCUUGACUGCGAGCGUGACGGCGCGAGCAGGUGCGAAAGCAGGUCAUAGUGAUCCGGUGGUUCUGAAUGGAAGGGCCAUCGCUCAACGGAUAAAAGGUACUCCGGGGAUAACAGGCUGAUACCGCCCAAGAGUUCAUAUCGACGGCGGUGUUUGGCACCUCGAUGUCGGCUCAUCACAUCCUGGGGCUGAAGUAGGUCCCAAGGGUAUGGCUGUUCGCCAUUUAAAGUGGUACGCGAGCUGGGUUUAGAACGUCGUGAGACAGUUCGGUCCCUAUCUGCCGUGGGCGCUGGAGAACUGAGGGGGGCUGCUCCUAGUACGAGAGGACCGGAGUGGACGCAUCACUGGUGUUCGGGUUGUCAUGCCAAUGGCACUGCCCGGUAGCUAAAUGCGGAAGAGAUAAGUGCUGAAAGCAUCUAAGCACGAAACUUGCCCCGAGAUGAGUUCUCCCUGACUCCUUGAGGGUCCUGAAGGAACGUUGAAGACGACGACGUUGAUAGGCCGGGUGUGUAAGCGCAGCGAUGCGUUGAGCUAACCGGUACUAAUGAACCGUGAGGCUUAACCUUACAACGCCGAAG
rnacentral:rRNA from 1 species